rnacentral:rRNA from 1 species
UACGUAGGGUGCAAGCGUUGUCCGGAAUUAUUGGGCGUAAAGAGCUCGUAGGCGGUUUGUCGCGUCUGCUGUGAAAAUCCAGGGCUUAACCCUGGACCUGCAGUGGGUACGGGCAGACUGGAGUGCGGUAGGGGAGAUCGGAAUUCCUGGUGUAGCGGUGAAAUGCGCAGAUAUCAGGAGGAACACCGGUGGCGAAAGCGGCGCGCUGGACCUCUUCUGACGCUGAGACACGAAAGCCAGGGGAGCAAACGGG